AGAGUUUGAUCCUGGCUCAGAUUGAACGCUGGCGGCAGGCCUAACACAUGCAAGUCGAACGGUAACAGGAAGAAGCUUGCUUCUUUGCUGACGAGUGGCGGACGGGUGAGUAAUGUCUGGGAAACUGCCUGAUGGAGGGGGAUAACUACUGGAAACGGUAGCUAACACCGCAUAACGUCGCAAGACCAAAGAGGGGGACCUUCGGGCCUCUUGCCAUCGGAUGUGCCCAGAUGGGAUUAGCUAGUAGGUGGGGUAACGGCUCACCUAGGCGACGAUCCCUAGCUGGUCUGAGAGGAUGACCAGCCACACUGGAACUGAGGCACGGUCCAGACUCCUACGGGAGGCAGCAGAAGGGCGAAUU
rnacentral:rRNA from 1 species